AAAGGGUGUGUAGGCGGGUAUUUAAGUCAGUGGUGAAAUCUCCGAGCUCAACUCGGAAACUGCCAUUGAUACUAUUUAUCUUGAAUAUUGUUGAGGUAGGCGGAAUAUGUCAUGUAGCGGUGAAAUGCUUAGAUAUGACAUAGAACACCGAUUGCGAAGGCAGCUUGCUAAACAAUUAUUGACGCUGAGGCACGAAAGCGUGGGGAUCAAACAGGAUUAGAUACCCUGGU
rnacentral:rRNA from 1 species